GGAGAGGUGGCAGAGUGGUUUAACGCGCACGCCUGGAGAGCGUGAAUACCCAAAAGGUAUCGGGGGUUCGAAUCCCCCCCUCUCCGCCA
rnacentral:tRNA from 2 species